UUUCGACCGUUUUCACUGUCGUUGUCAUUCUCUGCAUUCUCUGAAGCACAUUCAUUUUCCACGACCUGAUCCAUAAUACAUUCAGUUUCCACUGCCUGAUCCAUAAUAUAUUCAGUUUCGACCGUUUCACUGUUGUUGUCAUUCUCUGCGUUCUCUGAAGUUAUUUGUAGAUAGUUACCUGUGGAGUUGUCCAAUGGAAUUUCUUCUAUCAAAAAAUCUUUGUUUUUGCUCCAAAGAUUAACUAUUUGUUGUAGCUGACAUAUCCUUCUUUCA